ACAAUAAUUUCGCGUGCCCAGCCAUUUUCUAUGCCUCCAUUUCAUCAGCAAACACAGGCUGUCUCUCUCGCUCGAUCAACUUGUCAAGAUGGGUGGAAAAUAAAAAAGGAAAGAGCUUUUGCUCGCAUGGCCCUCCCGUGACGCCGAGAUCUAUUAAAAUCCUCACGUUUUGAGCUUCAAGGGAGGUGGCGUAGCAAUCCACAUUACUUACAUCGCUCUUUUCCCUCCCUCUUUCUUCGGUGAGUUUUUUUGGGGAGUUUUCAAUGUGUAGUAGCGUUGUUUUCGUGCCGCCGUAUAUUCCCCUCUCGCUCUCUCCUUUUUUGGCUUUCCACCGCCUUUUAAGUUCGAACAAACACUCACUAGAAGCCCGAGACGAGAAUCUUUGAAUCAUCGUACUUAAGGAAAGUCCUGGUGAAGCUUUUCUAGCUUUGCCUUUGGGUCGUUCUCAAUCCACACAAUUCCAAUAGAACGACAUGGUUUCUCCAUAUCAGAUAAGAGAAACUUUUCUUUCUGAUCGAUACAAACAGGUAUGAUUUUGAAAAUAAUUAGUCAAAGUUGGCGUAUUAGUGGAAGAAAAAAAUUCAUGGGAAAAAUACAAACUCGUACGUUUUCUGUCAA